UAGGGAAUCUUCCACAAUGGGCGAAAGCCUGAUGGAGCAACGCCGCGUGUGUGAUGAAGGGUUUCGGCUCGUAAAACACUGUUGUAAGAGAAGAAUGACAUUGAGAGUAACUGUUCAAUGUGUGACGGUAUCUUACCAGAAAGGAACGGCUAAAUACGUGCCAA
rnacentral:rRNA from 1 species